AGAAAAAGAAGAAGAAGAAGAAGAAGCAGAAGAAGAAGAAGAAGAAGAAGAAGAAGAAAGAGUAUAGGAGGAGAAAGAGAAAAGAAAGAAGAAAAAGAAGAAGAGGAGGAGGAGGAGGAGAAAAAAGAAGAAGAUGAAGAAUAAUAAGAAGAUGAUCAAGAAGAAGAAGAAGAAGAAGAAGAAGAAGAAAAAGAAGAGAGAGGAAAAGAAGAAAGGAGAGGAAAAAGGAACCCCGGCACCCCGACACCGACCCUCGACCUCCGACCCCUGACGCCCGACGCCACUGACCCUCGACCCUCGACCCCCGACGCCACUAACCAUCGACCCCCGACCCUCGAUCCCCGAUGCCCGACGCCACUGACCCUCGACCCCGGACCCCUGACACCUAUUCGGCCUCUUGUUGACCGAAAAGACCCCAACCCCCGACGCGAGUGAC
rnacentral:lncRNA from 1 species